rnacentral:lncRNA from 1 species
GUCACUUUGGGUCCCCUGACCCCUCCUUUUGGGCUGUUCCCAAGCGUUUCAAAACUGAAAUCUAUCUUAAUUACAGUGUGCCACUUAUCAAAACUGAGCAAGCCAUACAAUAUCAACACGGAUCACUGACCCCUGCAGCAACCCACAAAUAUCCUGGGACAGAGUAGGGCCCAAGUAAUUUUUUUAUUUCUAUAAAUCCCAAGUCACUUUUAUUUAAAGUAUUUACUAUAACUGCCCCCUUCCUUUUCUUGAAAAAAAAAAAUAGACAAGUGAAAUGAGAAAUACUGUUCUUGAGCACUUUAUCGAUUAGAAAGUGACUCAGGUCUCCUAAGGGGAAAAAAAGACACCAACAUUAACACACAGACAUAAAUGUUAAGUUUUAUGUUCAUGCCACAAGGACCGAACACUAAAACAUUCUGACUUCCACGUGGGUCUAACUGCUUCUAUCUGCAAAAUUUCUACAAAUGAUUGCUAUUUUACUGAUUCAAACAUUAUUAAAACCAUUUCAGUGCUAAAUAAAACUGUUUCCUAUUUUCCUACACUAAAACUUCAAUUCAUGCAAUCGAUCUAAAUUGUGUUUAUGUCAUUUUGCUAUUUGGGUGGUUUCUGGUGUUUACAACUAACCUAAACCUGUUCAUAACCAAAAAAAAAAAAAAAAUCUUGAAAAUAAAUGAUUGUAACAUUUAUUACGUCUGCUUAAAUUGAUUACCUAUGAAAAAAAUUGAUUAACUAUGAAUGUAUAAGUACCAUCUAAAAUGAGAUAGGUACAAAAGACAAAUAAAAUAAGAUAGGUACUUAUUAAUUAAAUAAGUACUUUUAAAAUAGACUUCGUAAAAAAUAAAAAUAUCCUUCUGUUUAGGGUUAUUUAUAGAGGAUUUAAAUGUCCGAAUUUGGCUUUCUUUAAGAAGCAUUUCUGAAUCAAUUUUUAAAAUAAACAAACAUUACAUUUUAAAGUUUUAUUUGAAGUUGUGUGCUAGCAAACCUUUCUAUUCCUUCUCAUUCCCAAGCAAUUUACAGCUUGUUUCUACCACUCUACUUGUAAAGAUAUUUAAAUGUGUCUUUGGCAUGAAUAGUUUUUAAUUCCAUUAAUACUAUUUACCCUACAAAACAAGUCUCCUUCCUCCUCAAGAAAUAAGUUUAAAAGAAACUAGCAUCCUACAUAACUGGAGUUCAAAGUUGUCAUGGGAAUACAGCAACUUACAACACAUCACAAAGAUUUAUUCUUCUCCGCCCUAAAAGCCACUAUUGACUACGGUAAUCAGUAAAAUGCUCAGGACUUCAAGGACACUGAAGUUAAACAAGGUA